GCGACCCUUCGAGCUUACACAGCUUAAACGUGCUUCGAACUUGAAAGAUGGCGAACUGAGAGGGGUAGGGCCGGGCAACACGCUCCGCGAGGAAGGUCCUUGAUCAUCAUUUUAAACUCCAAAUAUCAUUUGGAUUAUGGUGACGGUCUCUUCUCUAUGCUAAUCAAGGCCUCCAACACAAAAAAAAGUGCUACUAAUUUAAUUAAUCUUCCAAAAGAGGCUUUACUUUAGAAUAUAAAUAUCGUCUCUAAAAAUAUGUAAUCGCUUUAUCAAACACUAAUAGAUAUUUAUUCAAAUCAUACAUAUAUGUACAUGUAUACUUUUACACUCUCGUAAAGUAUCUAGUCAAGCUGACACUUGCCUCCAUA